CGAGCUGUCAGCACAGAGCCCGACGCGGGGCUCGAACUCACGGACCGCGAGAUCGUGACCUGAGCCGAAGUCGGCCGCUCAACCGACUGAGCCACCCAGGCACCCUGUGUUGGUUUUUAAACCCUGGUCCCUCUCACUCUUCUGAGGAACCACAUGUUAGAAGAUAGGCAUAUUUGCUAAUACAAUACCUGGCACAGGGAGACGUGGCGGUAAUUGCUAUUUUCAGAAGAGAAGCAUAGCGUUUUAGAGUUUGCCGGAUCCGUCCCUCCCUGCUUUUUUUUUUUUUUUUUUUUUUUUAGGCAGAUGGAGAAACUGAGUCCUGAAGGGUUGAGACAUCCUUGAGGUUAUACAGAGAACUCAAGUGGCAUAUGGUUCAUCUAGAAGGUAAAGACGAGAACCACUUCUAUUUGAUGGACACCCGCUUGCCGAGAAACGCUUUUGCUCCGCUCGGCUGAUUCCAUUGGAGUGCCCUGCCUUGGGCUGGGAAUGGCUGGCCCCUUGCCCUCUCGAGAAGCCUGUGCCAGAACCCGAGUCAUCUCCUUUGGGACGUCUGAGUGGUUUCCCAACUUCUUCUGUAGCAGCUGAAUUCUCCUUACGAUAAUAAAAGAGUUAGAAGGACUUGUCAUUGUAGAUGGGUAGAAGCCAUGUUGGCACUUAGACUUGACUUCAUCUCCCAUACCUACCUCCCACCCCCAGCACCAGCUCCUGUCCUGUGGUUCCCAGCUCACACCACAGAACAUUCUGGUUUGGCCAGGUAAUAGGCAUUCGGAUGACUAGGAGUCUGAAAUGUUCCCCCUUAACACCCUUCCCUAAGCCUCCCUGUAACCUCCCCCUCGGUCCCCCCGCUACUGCUCUCUGACUACUACCAAGAAGAUUGGAAACCUCUCCGUGACAACCUGAAAGAUCCUGGAUCACCUUAUCUCUUCUGUGAUCCAGGAGGAAUCAAAGAAGACUCCAACAGGAACUUACUUCUUCCGCCAGUUCCCCCUCCCCACCCCCCCAAAAACCCCACAACCUAUCCAAACUCACCUGAGUUGAAAUGUACACCCGCAGUGAUCCUAGCAUCAUUCAUAAAACUGGAUUCAUAGUUACAAACCUGAAAAAGGAACGUCCAGUCCCAGAUGGCUUUUCACUGGUAAAUUCUAACAAGCGUUGAAGGAAGAAAUAACACCAGUUUGAGACUGUCUCUUUGAGGACAAGAGGGAAAACGUCCCAGUGUAUGACAUGAGGCCAGCGACAAACCCACAGUCAACUCUCAUGAACACAGACCAAAAAAAAAAAAAAAAAAUUCAUCGAAAGAUAGAAGCAAUAUUAGGGGGCAAAUUUAUGU